rnacentral:lncRNA from 1 species
GGUUGUGAUCAUACCAGCACUAAUGCACCGGAUCCCAUCAGAACUCCGCAGUUAAGCGUGCUUGGGCGAGAGUAGUACUAGGAUGGGUGACCCCUUGGGAAGUACUCGUGUUGCAACCCCUUUUUUUUCGUUUUUUUUGUUUUUAUUAUAUUUACUAGUCGAUGUAUCUUUGGCGUAGCAUCCGAUUGGCCGAUUUUGUGAAUGGAAUGCUUUGAGUAAGGCGCGCGACGUAGGCCACACAUGAGGGCAUAGGUGCGCAUAGGAUCAAGGCGUGGAAAGGUAUAAAGUAAUAAGGAGAUGGUAUUCUUUCGGUUGCGAUCAUACCAGCACUAAUGCGCCGGAUCCCAUCAGAACUCCGCAGUUUAGCGUGCUUGGGCGAGAGUAGUACUAGGAUGGGUGACCCCCUGGGAAGUCCUCGUGUUGCAUCCC